rnacentral:rRNA from 1 species
GAUGAACGCUGGCGGCGUGCUUAACACAUGCAAGUCGAACGAAGCACCUUAUCUGAUUUCCUUCGGGACUGAUUAUUUUGUGUCUGAGUGGCGGACGGGUGAGUAACGCGUGGGUAACCUGCCUUGUACAGGGGGAUAACAGUUGGAAACGGCAGCUAAUACCGCAUAAGCGCACAGCAUCGCAUGAUGCAGUGUGAAAAACUCGGGUGGUAUAAAAUGGACUUGCGUUGGAUUAGCUAGUCGGUGAGGUAACGGCCCACCAAGGCGACGAUCCAUAGCCGAGAGGGGGACCGGACCCAUCGGAUUGGAACUAAGGCCCGGCCCAAGCUCCUACGGAAGAGAGCGGUAGAGUGUAUAACGCGAGGAGCGAAAGCGUAGUAAAGCGACGCCGCGUAAGAGGGGAAGUGGGUCGGAAUGUAAAGCUGUAUCAGCAGGGGAGUUAGUGACGGUAACUGACUAAGAAGCACCGGCUAAAUACGUG